ACUCGCCUCUCAAAGGGUAAACGUUGUUUUUCUUCAACCUGGACCCUGUUUCCCUUUGUUCUUGUGUCUAGGUGACUAAUGGGGACAACAAUCUUCAUUGGUCCAGCAUUAAGUAAGACCGCUCCAGUCGGCAGCAGCCAAACAGGCUAUGAAUGUAAGUUAGUGGGACAAUUGUCGAGGCUGUAUUUACUUUCACAAAAGUGCUUGUUUUGCUGCUGACAGGCUCAGAUUA